rnacentral:rRNA from 1 species
AUACAGAGGGUGCAAGCGUUAAUCGGAUUUACUGGGCGUAAAGCGCGCGUAGGUGGUUAGAUCAGUCGGAUGUGAAAGCCCCGGGCUCAACCUGGGAAUUGCAUUCGAUACUGUCUGACUAGAGUUUGGUAGAGGAAAGUAGAAUUCCAGGUGUAGCGGUGAAAUGCGUAGAUAUCUGGAGGAAUACCAGUGGCGAAGGCGGCUUUCUGGACUAAAACUGACACUGAGGUGCGAAAGCGUGGGGAGCAAACAGGAUUAGAAACCCCGGUAGUCC